UGGUUCUCUUUCCCUUUCCUCCAUAGGCAUCUGCUUUAAAUUAUCCAAUUUAAAUUAACCUAUCUGUGAUAGGUUUGUUUAUCUUCAUUUCAACAGACUCAGAAGGCUUCAGAUCCACCUAUGUCAUUGGAUUCGGAUGGAAAGGAUGACAGACUGAACCAUAUUUGCUUUCCAAAAUCAAGCUUGAAAUUCCCUUUGAACUUGAACUCCCUGGUUGUAAUUCACAUGUGGAUAGACUGACUUAAGUAUUUUCUUCAUUCCUCUCCCCAGAUAUAUGAUCCUCUUUUUUCUAUGAGGAUGGUCUAUUUGUAAGGGUUCCUUGAUGUUCUGCCUACAUUUUGCCUUUGCUUCAGGUCAUUUUAGAAUGCUCCUGUUUCUACCUAUUGCUCCCAUUAUGAUGUUUGUACUCUUGCAAAGAAUUGAAAAACAUCUUCUGUCAUUCUUACCUUUGGAGUUGUUGGUUGUCCAGAGCAAUGAAGAAGUAGAUAUUCCAAAACAUUUGUGAGGACAACAUCAGGGAUCCUCUAGGGGCUGUGAUCUGCUUCUUCUGUAAGAGCUGCAGAACAUUCUUGAAAAGACCUUGUUCUUCAGUGAAUACUUCUGCCUUCAUUCUUCCUUCUCCACCAUGGGCUGCUCCACCGUGGUACACCUUGUGCGGCAGAGGGAAGCCUGCUCCACCAUGGUCCCCUCCACAGGCUGCAGGGGAACCUCUGCUCCAAUGCCUGGAGCACCUUCUGCCCUCCUGCACUGGCCUUGGGGGCACAGAAGCCAUCCCUGCAGCCCCCGGCUACCGAAACCUUGCCAUGUAAACCCAGUACAACCUGAAAGAUGGAGAAAUUUGGUAUUUGCUUGAUAUGUUGUCAUUUUUGUUUGCCAUAGGAUCAGAAGACCAGAAGGAUCACUAAAUUCCUAAAAGUUAGUUCAGAAGGAUGCACAGUUUAUAAACUUCUAGUGUUUGUGUCUACUUGAAAACUGGAAGUAAUUAAAAAUACAUCUGCAUGUCUCCAUGAAAGAUUUGAAGGGCUUUUUAAGCCAAGACCUUCAAGAUAUUAAUAAAAAUUUGCCUUUUUACAUUUCAAAGCAUCCAUGAAGCAGUAAUAAAUCAGGAUGGUGGGAUUUAAUAGCCAUGGUGCACCAAGAAAAAUUAUGAAACAGGUCUCUGGUUUCUUCAACCUGUUACCUAUGCUGGAUAUUACCUGAAGCCAACUGCUUGUUGAAGUUGGCAGGCAUGUGAAGGGGACUCCUGAAGACA